AAUCAACGCUGGCGGCGUGCCUAACACAUGCAAGUCGCACGAGAAAGUGGAGCAAUCCAUGGGUAAAGUGGCGCACGGGUGAGUAACACGUGACUAACCUACCCUAGAGUGGGGGAUAACCUCGGGAAACCGGGGCUAAUACCGCAUAACCUCGUGAGGUGAAAUUCCUUGCGAGCAAAGCCGAAAGGCGCGUUUGGAGGGGGGCGCGGCUGAUUAGCUAGUUGGCGGGGUAACGGCCCACCAAGGCGAUGAUCAGUAUCCGGCCUGAGAGGGCGCACGGACACACUGGAACUGAAACACGGUCCAGACUCCUACGGGAGGCAGCAGUGGGGAAUUUUGCGCAAUGGGGGAAACCCUGACGCAGCAACGCCGCGUGGAGGAUGAAGUCCCUUGGGACGUAAACUCCUUUCGACCCGGACGAAUAACGACGGUAACGAGAGAAGAAGCCCCGGCUAACUUCGUGCCAGCAGCCGCAGUAAGAC
rnacentral:rRNA from 1 species